rnacentral:rRNA from 1 species
CAAAGGAUUGACGGGACCCGCACAAGCGGUGGAUGAUGUGGUUAAUUCGAUGCAACGCGAAAAACCUUACCCACCUUUGACAUGGCAGGAAUCCUGAAGAGAUUUGGGAGUGCUCGAAAGAGAACCUGCACACAGGUGCUGCAUGGCUGUCGUCAGCUCGUGUCGUGAGAUGUUGGGUUAAGUCCCGCAACGAGCGCAACCCUUGCCAUUAGUUGCUACGAAAGGGCACUCUAAUGGGACUGCCGGUGACAAACCGGAGGAAGGUGGGGAUGACGUCAAGUCCUCAUGGCCCUUAUGGGUAGGGCUUCACACGUCAUACAAUGGUCGGUACAGAGGGUUGCCAACCCGCGAGGGGGAGCUAAUCCCAUAAAACCGAUCGUAGUCCGGAUCGCAGUCUGCAACUCGACUGCGUGAAGUCGGAAUCGCUAGUAAUCGUGAAUCAGAAUGUCACGGUGAAUACGUUCCCGGGCCUU